rfam:Tetraodon nigroviridis, WGS project CAAE01000000 data, contig: CNS0BZ36, chromosome: 1
UCUGGCUGUCAAAAGUGCUGUUUGUGCAGGUAGCGUUCAUCCAUCUACUGCAAAACCAGCACUUUAAGGCAGACGGA